CAAACACAAGCUACAUGGUAAAUAAAUGCCACAAUUUAGUUAAGUUUACUUAGCGUAGCUGACAGUUGAAUAGGAAGCAUACAGCUACCUGCAGGUGUGUGUAUACCUGCAAAGGUAAUGAGCUUUUAUUUAGAGAAAUGCCCAUAAAAGCAUUUCAACCUUUACAAUUCAGCCAAUAAGUAUUCGCCUCGCUGCUGAGGUAAUUUGAGGGGAGGGGGAAAAAAAGCUUUCAAAUCCUUAGAGUAUAAAAUAGUGGAAGCUGAGUGCUCAAGAUAUUCCUGAACUUCUGCUUAAACACUUGCCAAUUUUCUUGCAUUUUUUUUUUCUUGGUUUUAAACUUUAAGGGAGAGGGGCCUUACCUAAUAAGCUUUAAAUGGCAGCAGUUCUUUGAUAAUUCUUAGGAGCUUUUCCAUCAAAUUUUCCAUUAUAUAAUUUGUAGUUGUUCAGCCAUAACGGCAAGUGAUACGGAUCUUUAUAAAACAGUUUCCUGUGAAUCAGGUUUGCAUUAUGAAAUAGUAGCUGGCUCUUUUUAAAUUCAGACAUGUUGUAUUUUUUUCUUCCUUAGAUGAACAUAGGACGUUAGUCUACCCCCAAAAAAUCUUUUUUCCUCACUUUCUUGACAGAGACACAAAAAUUGCAUCCAAACAAAUUGGUUCUUGCAAAUGAACUGCUAUUUACCUAUUGAACAGAUAAGCUUGAGUAGAAAAUACAGCUGCAGCCCCAGGACACCUAUGCACUCUUUGGUGAAGACCUUUCCAAGGAACGAUAGGAUAGUUAAUUCUCAGCAGCAUUGAUUCUUCAAACAGUGCAGAUUCUUUCAAGUGAUGCUGGGAGAGUACAGACUAGUGUUGUAUCUGAGUAGGGUGGAAAAGAGAGGAUAACCUGAAAGAAAAAUGGAAAAUGCUCGAGACUGUAGCAAAGGAAGAAUGAAGACAGGAAGGAAGACAGGAAGAAUGAAAGGGUUCAAGGGAGUAACAGCAGGGAGAGAAGCCGUGUUUUGUCCUGUUAUUUUUACACUGCACUGUGGAUGCAUGCAUGGCACUUUCCAAAGAGGAUUGCAGAUGUUGUCUUUGGCCUAA
rnacentral:lncRNA from 1 species